CCGGAGGCUCGAUCUGUUUUUUAGGGAGAGUAGAAACCAGAGGCGUUUAGAGCACUCCCAUUGGUCAUACCUUUGGGAUGUGUCUAAGUUUUUUAAUAAUAAAAGUUAAAAAAAUUUAAAGUUUUAAUCCAAAACGAAACGACGAAAGCAAUAAUCGAUUUAUCAAAAUCCAAUCGAAGUUUUGAUCGGUUUCGAGACAAAAUGGAUCUCUCCAAGUCGUCUUUUUCUUCUCCGAUUCCGCUUACUUCUUCUUUGUUAGGUCAGAAAUUUUUGGUGACACAAUCGUCGCGCCGCAGCUUCGUCUCCAACCAGAGGUCGGAUAAGAUCCCAUAUUUUGUAGAAAUUGUAUGUGUUUGAAAUGUUUGAAGCUAGUAUAAGGUAUAUUGAGGUCUUUUCUGUAUAAGGUAUAUAUAGGUCUGAAACUUGGCAAUGUAAAGAAGAAAAAAUGAGCUCCAAUGGUGGUGGCGACGACUAUAGCACCAAAAGUAUUAUUAUACAUUACCAACUAUUUUGACCAUUGCUUGGUGUUUCUGUUGUUAUAGAUUGGUGCUUGCUUUGCUCGCCAUUGCUUGUGGAACUCGACGAGUGUCUUGGUUCCUUCUGCGGAGUUUUCUAGCUUAUCUAGCAAACCCAAUGAUUUUCUUCUUUCCUCUACUCGAAAGUUUAUUGCUUUUGUUGCUUACAUACACCUUUUGGGCUAUGAGGUUAAUUUCAUGCUUUCUGUGGUCUGUGGAAUGGGCCUUUCUUAAUUAUCUCACUGGGCAAUUUGCUUUACUCUUAUGUUUAACUGAGUUUAGUGGAGAAAGAUUCAUAAAAGGCUAGUAUUGAUGUUCAUAAAAUGCAUUUAUAAAAGGCUAGUUUUUGUUAAUUCUUGUUUGAUGUUCUUUUGUUAAGUUCUGAGUCAGCUGCUGGUGAAGAAACUUAUGCUCUUGAGUCCCAAACUGCUGCCGUACUAAUAACCGUGGCGAUGGUUUGCUUACGGCUGUUCAUAAGGAUUAUUAAAGAGUUGUGAACUCGACGGAUUUUCUUUUUAACGAUUGUGAUGACAGAGUUGAACAGUUGCUACAUGUAGAAUUAGUUCCUCCUUACUCUCAGUACGAUGCUCAUCAACAAGUUUUGAUUGUCAAUACUCAUUUGCUGUUUCCUCAUGAUUCAACUUUGUCUAUAGUAAGACUGCAGCAGGUUUAUAAGAUUCUUCAGUAUGUAGUGUCACAGUCUUUAAAACACUGUGAAUACAUAAUUGGGCAUUAGGUUGAGAGAUUUGGCCGAGACUAUGAUUGAUUUAUGACAUUGACAUUCUUCUCCUCAAGCUGGUUCUUGGUGUUGUGGAACUUGGUCUUCGUGUCCUGUCUCUUGCUUCAUCGUCUUCGCGUUUUAUCUGGAACGAUUUUUUCACCUUUUGCCAACGCAAUCCCCAGUUUUGUGUCCUGUCUCUUGCUUCUUCUUUUAAGUGUCUUGAUUUCAUCAUCUCUACAACCUGCAGAAUUUUCUU